GGUCCCAAGACUGUUGGGGUUGUACAAAGCAGCAACCAAGUCUGGAAAGAAGCAAUCACUCAAGGACAUUUUGGACUGCCUUCAGAAAGAUGACACAAAUGAGAGGAGGAGGACUGCUGCUUUGCAUAGUCUGCCGCACUACAUAUCGGGCGAAGAUCCAUCAGCUGUCAUCAGGAUGUGUAAUGCUCAUGGAGAGACUCUGGAUGAAGCCAUGAAGGGGAUGCAACUUGGC